UGGGGGUGGUUUGGUAGGACCUGCCUACGCCGCGGGCUGAAGGUGCCGCGGCCGCCGCUGCUGGGCUUUGCCCAGCCCGGGGUCGCCCCAGCGAAAGGCUUUUGGCAGGACUAGAAGCUUCAUCCCAGUUUCGCCGCAAUCCAGCCUGGAAUUAAAAAAAGGGCCAAAGGAGAUCUGCGUUUCGGUUCGCGGCACCGUAAAGAUCCUCCCUAAAAAUGACCGUUGCGCCUGUUUCCCCUCUCCCAAGGUCGGCUGGGGUGGAUCUAAAAAUGCCCCUCUCUUCUCUCCGCGGGGCGUUUCUCACCUCUUUUUAGUUUGCGAAAUAAAACGGCCAAACCGAAGCGUUUUUCCCUCCCGACAAGGAGCGAGGCGACAAGAAACACCUUGUUUCGAGAGGAGUCGCAAGCCAAGGCUGGGGCGCUUCGGGCUGAUUCGUGUCAGACCAGUAAACGACGACUCGCCCCCUUUCUGGAAGGGGAGAUCUCGGGGGGGGGGGGGGGGUGGGGGUGUGGGUCGGAACCCCCAUCCCGCGUUCGUCCGGGGGGCAGAGCCAGGAGCCCGGCGCAGUCCAGCGGGGUCACCUCCCGCAGGCAAAUCCCUCUUUGCUCCCUGGUGUUUUCCAAGGAUUAAUCCCCCCCCCAACCGUCUCCCUCCUUGCUCUAUUAAUAUAUUUUUUUUCAGGAUUUCAGUGACCCGAGCGUGGACCAGGGGCUUGGCGGCCUUCACCGCGAAAGCUUUAGUCUUAGAAGUAAUCGAUAUUAGGGGGAGAUAAUAAACAUAAAUUAUCCAGCUGGUUUCUCUCCGCCGAGCUUUCUCCUGAAACCGCAAUAUUCUGGAGACUUCGGCGCGUCCCGAUAUGUGAAGAAUGAAGCGUGUGACAAUUUCCCGCCAGCGGCGGCGGGUCCGUCCCGGUCGCUGGCGAUGGCCGACAAUGUUCCUCUCCGCCUCGGCGUCCCGGCGCGAAGGCAGCCGCCGCCAUCGCCGUUGGGGUUAUUUAACGCUACCACUGGGCAGGAACUGGUCCUGGUGGAGCUGAACUGGUCCCAGCGUGUCGGUCCCGGGUGUUAUUUGCAGCUGCGGUUCGGUUGAGCCGUUCCUCCGUGGGGGUGUUCGGUCUUCGGGGCUGGCACCGUCCUUUAAUCCACCAUGCCGGGGCUCGGACGCGUCAAGCCCUCGCCGUGCCACCGAUGACAUCCCGGCUUCUCUUUAGACGAUGGCGUGUCCCUUGUCCCCCCGCAGACGAACCGGCCCCAGCGUGACGUGAGUAGAGGCGAGCGGAUGAGUCAGGCGUCGUUCCCUUGAUGGCAGCCCUUCUCCUGGCUGUUGCUUUGAUGCUCCGGGUGUCUCAGUCCUGGAUGGCAAAGGCUUUUCCCAGCGCUGCCCUAUCCCAGGGAAUCCGGAUGCCUGCGGACUUGGGGGGGCAGAGCAGCCAGCCCGAAUUCCGAGUUUGCGUGCCCCCGCCUGGGAGAGCGAAGCUCCUAUUGCCGCCGCUGCGAUCCGGAGGGGUGAAAUCAAAGCUGUUCCUCUCGCCGCAGGAAGCCCAGACCCGGUCGCGCACGUAAACCCCCCCCGCCGGCCACGCAGAUCGUUGGCGAUGCCACCGCGGAGCCGUCAGGCAUCGCAGCCGUGAGCUGGCCGGUCCCCCAGGUAGCCAAGGAUCUAUUCCUGGUGGCUUUUGUCCUUCUUGGCCCGGUGGCUCCUCCGCUGAGCUUUGCCAGGGCACCACUGACACCUGCUGGAAACAGCCGAACGGCCCCGGGGGAGGCCGCCCGCUGCCAAAAACUCUUCAUCAUUCCCCCCUCGCUGUCUCCCGCUUGUGAAACUCCCUCCCGGCUGCGGGAAGAGAGCCCAGCCCGCGCCCGAUGGACAUUUCGGACCGGCGAAGUCUGAAAUUCAUCCUCCUUCGGCGCCGACACCUCUCCCGGGGCUGCUCGGUAUGCCGCCUCCUGCCUGGAAGAAGUUAAGGCAGAAAAUCAGGUUUUUAAAGGAAAUGUCACCGCUCUGGGAAGGUGUUUGUCCCAGUAGGACUCCUCAGAAGGCUGUGCCAUCCUGCUGUGGUCCCUCUGCCGGGGCAGCGUCUCCGUCCCCGUGCCGCAGAGGUGGCCUUCGCUCCUGCGGCUCCGGAGGACGCCGGCGGCAGGACCGCGGGCUGUUUUUUGGGGAAAGCUGGCUUUUGGAAACUGCAGCUUGGGGACAUUUGUGCUCCUUAUUUAAGAAGCAGCUUCCAGGUAACGGGAAGAGGAGACGGAGGGAAUGAACCAGCAUCUCCCAGGGCACCACGGUGUCCCUCGCACCACGAUGUCCCGCACACCCCGACGUCCCCGCCAGCCGUUGGCAGCGCUGGGUGGCACAGUCCUUCCCGUUAACUCUUCCUCACUGGAGCCAACAUCAGGAAAGUCCCAACUGGGUGUUUUUUUGGGGAAGAUUCGCCCCGACACAACCUUGUUUCUCGGCGGCAGGAGAGGAGGGAUCUCCGGACGGAGCGGCAGAGCUCGGCAUCCCUUGCUGUUGGCGACGAGCGCGUUCGCUCGCACACGGCGGGUGUUUUAUCGCGGCCCCCUCAACCCCGCCUGCCUGCUCGCCAGGAAAUUAGUAGGAAAAAAGGUGAAUUUUGGGCUGGAAUCCCAGCCCGUAGCCAGAUGAGGAUGCCGCCUCCCGUCCGGCGGAAGCGGCUGGGCUCUAAAUCUGCCGUUAAGACUUAUUGGCAUAUGUUAAUUGCCGCCGAAAAGAGAUUACUCAGCCUGUCGUCUCUGCGCCCGCUCCGGCUUUUCAGCCUGAAAAUAAUCAAGCAGCGAAGCUUGAAGGGAAAUAAAACACUCCCGAAGUGUAGAUGGGGUUAUUGGAGAAGCAAUUAGAUGGCAGCGUUAAGCGGAGAGCAAUAAAAUGGCAAUGAAAAGUGAUAGGCUUAAAAACUUCCU